UGCUACAAUUACAACAUAAAGCAAACCCCCUCACCUUCUCUUCAUUAGUGAAUGAAUAAUGAGGCUCAAUUUCAAAAUGGGGUAAUUUGGAGUAUUCUGAUGAUGCGGAUUUUUGGGAGCAGAAUAGUAAAUUUCUGUAUUUCACAGACAAUUAGGUCAUCAUCCCCAAAUAGCGAAUAAUUAGAGGGAUAAUCCUCUUCUGUUCCUAAUGGCAUUCACAUGGAACAAAUUGGAUAGAAUAUUUUGGAGCCUAAUUACUGUUCGCACUACAAAUUCCUCAAAUAUGAAUAAUUAGUAAAUUUGUAUGCUCCUCACGAGGAAUUUUCAAAAAAAAAAGGAAAAUGCUUGAUAUUUCGAAUAUUCUGUGUAGCUGGAAAAUUCCAAAGUUGAAAUUGAAAGUGUUCCUGAGCACGGCAAAAUUAGAGUUUGAGGUGGCGGAUGGUAGGAAUGUGAAGGGUGAAAUAAUGGAGCUACCAACUAUAAUAGUCAUUUUUCCAACAGCCCCAUUCUCACGUACGCUUUUCCCGUGCGUGCCACAACACAUGAUGUACACAUAUUCAGCAUUUCUUCCAAAAGGGAGAACGGAAUUAAAGUAUGGCACCACAUUGGCAGGAUAAUCACUUUGUCUUUUGGCACGCAAUUCAUAAGCAACAUCUUGUACCAACAGGAAAAUGUGGAGAAUUUUCAAAUCCUCAGAGACACAAGUACAUCAUGUCUUUUUGGAGAGCUUUCCAUUGGGGGGAAAAGUGCAAGACUCUUGGGAUUACUGGUGAAGAAAAUUAUUAAUCUUCACCACGAAUGCCACCCUCCUAAUUGUCACGAGGGGACACUUCAUGGGGAGGGAAUUCUGCUAAUAUGAAGAGACAGAUCCAUUGACUGGGGAAUUUACUCUCCGGCAAAUCAACUUGUGUCACAUUUAUGGCAAUGGGAAUGUCUCCUUGCCAUCCGGGAAUACCUGGUAGGGAAGGGGUUGAAGUUGGUGCAAUAUGUGGGGAAUGUUAUAGGAUUUGCAAAAGAGAAAAAUAAUUCCGGAGCUCAAUAUUCCUGGAAUUUCUCAAACAAAGUGAGUUGA